ACAUCAAAUAAUAUUUAUUAAAAUUUACAAAAAAUAAGAAGUAACAUUUUUUUUUUAUUUGUGUAUUUUUAGCAACUAAAUUAUGAAUAAAAAAAAAAUGUAUGCUUACCUGUACAAAUUUUUUAACAUAUUAAAUAUGUUUAUAUUUUCUCAUACUCACAUGUAAAUGUACUUAUCUUUAAAUAGUUUUUUUUUAUUUUUUUAAAUGUAUGUAUUUUUUGAUUUUUUCAUGAUGAAUGUAAAAAAUGCUUUAGAUUUAUUCUGUACUUGAAACUCAAAAGCAAAAUAUUUUUAAAUUUACCAUUAUGAUUAUUUCGAAAAAAUAAAAUAAAAUACAGAAUAAAAAUUUAAAUACACUAGUUUUUUUAUGAAAAAUGCUUUAAAAAUAAUAAAAAAAAAAAAAAAACUUCAUUAAGAAUAUACAAAAAUUGUUAUGCUAUGUUAAUAACACUUUUACAUAUUCAUCAUUAAAUGUUUUGUGUAUGUGUAUAAACACAUGUGUUUUAUUUUUAUUUCUCAUGAAUUAAAAAAAAAAUAAAAUAAUUAUGUGUUUACAAAUAUAUGAAAAAAAAAAAUAUAUAUACAUAUACACACAUAUAUACAUAGUAAAAUAUGUAAAAAUUUUAGUUUUAAAGGUACAAAAAUUAAUUAUAAAAAUAAAAAUUACAUUUUGUUAAUGAUAAAAAAGAAAAAAAGCGAUAAUAAGAUAAAUUUUUUUUUUUUUUAAUGUUUAAACAACUCAAGAAAUGUUAUUAGCUAUUAAAAGAGAAAAAGGUAACAUUAGUAUUAAACUUAAAACCUUAUAUUUUUUAUUCCUAAAAAAUUACAUAUACAUUCAAUAUUUCGUUUAUAUGUGAAAUUAAACACACUAUUUACAAAAUGUAUGAACUAUUAAAAAAUACACUAAACUUUAAUAAUUUUAAAAAUAUAAAAAUUGAUUUAAUCAGUAAAAUAGAUGAUACACACGAUACCAUUUAUUCUCAUGAAGAAAGUGAUUUACUCCAUUUUCUAAAAUAUAAAGAAUUAACUUCUCAAGGAUUAAAUUUCAACGAACUAGGGUCAAAAAAUUCUGAAAAUGCAUUUUCAGUUAGACAAAAAGUAAAAGAUAUUAACAUUUUAAAACGUUAUUUAAAUGGAAUAGUAAAUUUACAACAAGAUGAAACAUUAGAUUUAGAUAAAAAUAUAAGCGUUAAUAAUAGUAAUAAUAAUGAUAAACCAUGCAAAUACAACAUGGAUAGUCGUUUAGUACUAAGUAAUGUAAAUGUCUGUGAUAGUAGCAAUAAACAAGUGUUGUACUUGCAAAAUGAUACUACACAAGAAGUAGGAAAAAAAAAUGGACUGCUUAACAAGAGAUUUACUGAAAUAUUGUAUAAAAAGAUUAAAAAAGAUAAACAUUUAAAAAACACAUUUUUUAAAAAUUUAUUAUCGCAAUAUGCUCGUGAGAUACAUAAUAAUGAUGAUAAAUACAUACAAAUAAAAAAUUUAAAAAUUAUGAAUGAUAGGUUAAAUACUCACUUAAAAUUAUGUAAAAACGCUAUCUUCCAGAAGUAUCAUUCUGUUAAAAAUAUAAAGACCGAUUUAAAAAAAAAUGCAUUUAACAAAUGCAUUUUAAAACCCCAAUUGAAUUCUAUAAAAAGCAACACAAAAUUUCAAAGAAGUAGAAAAAUAUAUUUUUUUAAAAUAAAUGAUAGUAACAAUAAUAAAGGUCAAAACAUAAGAAAAGUAAUGAUAGACGCUAAAAAAAACAAUUUACAUGUAAAUGGUAAAAAUUGUGUUGCAAAAGAAAAUUAUAAUAUUAUAGAUACUGGUACAAAUAAUUUUGAACAGUUUUUUUCAAUUAAUAAUGCAUUUGACAUGAAACCAUAUUUUGAUAAAAAGGAUAAUAGUGUGGAUUUUAAUGAGGACAAACAAACGAGAUCUAACAAUUUUAUGAAUAAGCGUGAUGAAACAUAUGUAGAUAAAAAUUGUAUGGAUGAAAAAGACAGUAAAAUAUGUAAAGAAGAGAAUAUAAAUAAUGUAAAAUCGCACAUAUGUGGUGCUACUAAAUAUAAAAACGUGUUUAAUAAGCUUGAAAGAAGAAAGAAUAAUAAAGUUAAUGAAUUAAAUGGGUAUACAAAUUUUUAUGAAAAUAAAGAUGCUAUAAUUGUAUAUAAGAACAUGUCAAAUUUGAAAAACAUUAAUUUGAGUAUACUUAGAAGAAUGAGUACAAGUUAUAAAUAUAAUACUAAAAAAUAUUUAAACAAAAAUAAAGAUCCUCGUCUGAAAUUUUUAAGUAACAAUAUUAAUUUUUAUAAAACCGACAUUAACAAAAAAAUGUAUAAAGAGGAAGUUUCACAAAAAACGAAUUGUUUUUCUGAUAAUAUUAUUAUUCAAAAUGGAGAAAUAAAUGAAAUCAAAGAGAAAAUUAAAAUGGCACUAAUGAAUUUAAAUAAUAUUAAAAAGAACAAUUACAAAUUAAAAUUUUCUUUGGAAAAAGAAAUUCUUGAUAAUGCAAUUCAUCAUAAUGAAUUAAAAAAAUAUAUAUGUUCUCCUUUUGAUGACAAAGCAUCACAAAAAAGUAGUGUCGAUGUUAACAAAGGUUAUGAAAUUGUAAAAAGUGAUCAACAUGAAAGCAUUAAUCAAGUUAAUAAUAAUAGCAAUGAUGUAAAAUUAUAUAAAGGUGAAAAUACGGAAAGAGAUACACAACGCAUGUAUAAUAAUAAUAAUAAUGAUAAUAAUAAUAAUAAUAACAUAAUUAUUGAUAACACUUUUCUAAAAACUACUACCUUACAUAAAACAGAUAUUGAUCCUUGUAAAAAUAUUAUUAAUGUUUACAAUAGUAAUAAUGAAAAAAAUGAAAAAAUAAAUGCUAACCCUAUUGAAGGAAAUGUAAAGCUCAUGUGUAAUGCAACAACAUACCAUCUGAAUAAAAAUAAAUUAGAAAAUGAAACGAAAGAAAACAAUGUUUUAACUAGGUCUAAUAAUUGUUGUAAAGAUGCGUUACUAACAUAUACAAAAUUAGAAAAAAAAACAGACACUAAAGAUAAGAAAACUUAUUUAAACAAUAGAGUAGGUAAAUUAAAUAGAAAAGAAAUAAAUGAACAUAAUGGUAACUUUAAAUGUUUAAAAAAUGAUGAAAAAAACGAUACUAUAAAUAGUUUGGAAAAAAUACACAAUUGUAAUUGGGGUUAUGAGGAAACAGCCAAUAAGUUAAAAAAUUGUGAAAACAAAAAAUCACGUGCUUCUGAAGAAUUACUAAGUGUUAGUUGUUCAAACAAGUUAAAGAAAUCGAUAAAAAAAGAUAAUGUAGAUAAUGCAAAUUGUCGAAAUAUAAUAAAAUUAAGAGCGGAUUGUAAAAAAAGAGAAUGUAUUGUUUAUGAAAAUUGUAAUAAUAUUAUAAGUGAAAAAAGCGAACUAGUUGAACAUUUUCAAGAAAAUAAUAGUAAUAAGAAAAACGUUAAAAAAAAGCGUUUCAAUCUUGAAAAUAAAAAAAUUAAAUUAUUAAAUAAAAAUGAUAGUUACAUAAAUAAUACACAUAUUGUAAGCACUUUUAAAAGUAUAUUUAACAAUGAUGAUAAAAAAAUAAACAUACAAAACAACUUUAAUAAUUAUAAAGUUUUAAAAAAAUCCUUUGGCUUAGAACAAAUCAUUUUAAAUAACACUAAAAAAAAAAAAGAAUAUUUUGAUUUUAAAAAUGUAAAAAAUAUUAAAAAAAUAAUCAUUUCGGAAAUUUAUGUAAAUAAAGAGCUAGAAAAAAUAAAUAAAAGAAAUCAAAUGGUAAUAAAUAUAAUUGAACGUUAUAUAAAAGAUAAGAAUAAAACAUGUUACAUAUUCCCAAAAGAAGAAAAGAAAAUGAAUAUGCAUUUUCAAACAAAUUGUGCUCUUGAAAAUCAAAAUAAAGUUAAACAAACAAAUUUUUUACCAGGUUUAUAUGACCAUUAUGCAUCUUUAUUGCUCAACUAUAAAAAUAACUAAAUUAUAUAAGAAAAGUUCCAAUAACCAGUUAUAAUUAUUAACAACACUUGUGUUUGUAUUUAUAUCUUUUUUAUAACAUUAGGAAGAACAAGUGUUUAUAGGGCUAGUUAUACAAAGGAUGUGGUUAAUUUUAUUUUAUAUUGAUAGCAAAAAUUUCUUUCUUUUUUUGUAUACCGAGAAGGAAAUUCAUGUUUUAAUUCAUUUAUCAAUUAUUUUACUAUUUUUUUAACCUUAUGUUAACACAUUUUUUUUGUUUCUUUUUUUUUGUUUCUUUUUUUUUAUUUCUUUUUUUUUGUUUCUUUUUUUUGGUUUCUUUUUUUUGGUUUCUUUUUUUUGGUUUGUUUUUUUUUGUUUUUUUUUUUGUUUGUUUUUUUUGGUUUGUUUUUUUUGGUUUGUUUUUUUUGGUUUGUUUUUUUUGGUUUCUUUUUUUUGUUGUGUAGUAAUUUUUUUAUCUGUUUUUGUCUGUUUUUGUUAUUUAUUUUUUUUUAUUUCUUUUAUUGGUUAUUAAUUAAUUAUUUCAAUUUGUGAGCAAAUAAUUGUUAGAUAUGCAUACAUUUACACUGUUGCAUUUGUAUUGAAAACAACGCUUCUUUUCGCACACAUUUGUUAAACUUAUAAAUAUGUAUAACGUGAAUUUUCCAAAAAAAAUAAUAUAACAAUAAAUAUACUGUUAAUCUACA
rnacentral:lncRNA from 1 species